ACGCGUGAGGAACCUGCCUCAAAGAGGGGGACAACAGUUGGAAACGACUGCUAAUACCGCAUAAACCCACGGCUCGGCAUCGAGCAGGGGGAAAAGGAGCAAUCCGCUUUGAGAUGGCCUCGCGUCCGAUUAGCUAGUUGGUGAGGUAACGGCCCACCAAGGCGACGAUCGGUAGCCGGACUGAGAGGUUGAACGGCCACAUUGGGACUGAGACACGGCCCAGACUCCUACGGGAGGCAGCAGUGGGGAAUAUUGCACAAUGGGGGAAACCCUGAUGCAGCGACGCCGCGUGGAGGAAGAAGGUCUUCGGAUUGUAAACUCCUGUUGUUGAGGAAGAUAAUGACGGUACUCAACAAGGAAGUGACGGCUAACUACGUGCCAGCAGCCGCGGUAAAACGUAGGUCACAAGCGUUGUCCGGAAUUACUGGGUGUAAAGGGAGCGCAGGCGGGAGAACAAGUUGGAAGUGAAAUCCAUGGGCUCAACCCAUGAACUGCUUUCAAAACUGUUUUUCUUGAGUAGUGCAGAGGUAGGCGGAAUUCCCGGUGUAGCGGUGGAA
rnacentral:rRNA from 1 species